GUGCAAGUCUGCUGUAAUCCAAACACAGCAAAAGUAGCACAGCACAGUGCGAAAAUAAGUGAGAUGGCCACAUGAAACCUGAAGAAUUAGAAGACCAUUCUCAACGGGGGCAAAAAAAAACCCAACAUAACUUUCUCAGGGUUUACUGCAAGGAAGUCUGUGAAUCAAACUGUAAGACUGGCUGGAAAAGCCACAUUUCGCAGAAACUAACAAGAGCAUAUCAGGAGGACACAAGACAACAAUAGAUAUAUACUCAAGGGAUUCAAAAUUCAAGGAGACCUGUUGUUCCAAUGAGAAAUGACAAGUUCCAGAACAGCGCUUGCAAAACAACGUCUCACCUCAAGAUGUGAAGACAAUGCCAGGAUCUUUCCCAGCCCAGCUACUGCCUGAUCUACUGUAUUUUUCCAGCAGUUCCAAGCUCUGCAUUCUCUCUACACUCUGCUUUCUUUAUUCCAAGCUUCAUCAAGGGAAGCAAUGACCAGAAGUGCUGAGAAAAGCCUCUCCGUCAAAAUGCAACAAGCUGUUGACUUACAGCAACCUCUUGCCCAGAAUUGCCCAAACUGGCAAUGACACAUUUGUGAAGAGGCCAACCAUCUCUACCAGCUCCAUAAGCCCCCUGGGGGAAGGAAGGUGUGAAAGCCCAAGCAUCCCAGCUCUUCAUACGCCACCUGCCCUACCUGGAUGUGCCAGUCCAGCACUGGACUGUUUAUUUACCUCAGGACCACAACUUGAAAGUGAAAAUCACCCUCAGUCUCAAGGGACUACUUACGAUGAAGAAGAAGACCAAAACUUAAUUCUAUUGAUUGACUGCAUUUAAAAUUGAUGGUAUCAGCAUUUUCACCAUGCCUUUUUAAAAUGAGGAACAGGAUAAUUAUAUUUAAUGUUAGAAACAGAUUUCACUAAAUUGCAUUGCCACAAUCAAAAUGUCUGAAUCUGAUGGGUUUGAGGUCAAGUGAGUU